rnacentral:rRNA from 1 species
UACGUAGGGUCCGAGCGUUGUCCGGAAUUAUUGGGCGUAAAGGGCUCGUAGGCGGUCUGUUGCGUCGGGAGUGAAAACUUACAGCUUAACUGUGAGCGUGCUUUCGAUACGGGCAGUCUUGAGGCAUUCAGGGGAGAACGGAAUUCCUGGUGUAGCGGUGAAAUGCGCAGAUAUCAGGAGGAACACCGGUGGCGAAGGCGGUUCUCUGGGAAUGUCCUGACGCUGAGGAGCGAAAGUGUGGGGAGCGAACAGG